GAUGAACGCUAGCGACAGGCCUAACACAUGCAAGUCGAGGGGCAUCGGGGCGUAGCAAUACGCUGCCGGCGACCGGCGGAUGGGUGAGUAACGCGUAUGCAACCUGCCUUCAGCAGGGGGAUAGCCCGUUGAAAGACGGAUUAAUACCCCCGUAACACAGGGGCUCCGCAUGGAGAUUAUUGUUAAAGGGAUACUUCCUUCGGGGGGUAUUCCGGCUGAAGAUGGGCAUGCGUUCCAUUAGGUAGUUGGUUGAGGUAACGGCUCACCAAGCCUACGAUGGAUAGGGGAACUGAGAGGUUGGUCCCCCCACACUGGUACUGAGACACGGACCAGACUCCUACGGGGAGGCAGCAGUGAGGAAUCUUGGGUCAAUGGACGGAAGUCUGAACCAGCCAUGUCGCGUGAAGGAGGACGGCCCUAAGGGUUGUAAACUUUCUUUUGCAGCGGAAUAAAGGUAUUUCCACGAGAUGGGGAUUAUUGCAAGUACGCCUGCGAAUAAGGGAUCGGGCUAACUCCGUG
rnacentral:rRNA from 1 species